ACUAUGUUGAAGGAACUAGGCAAAAUGCUUGUGUAACUUCGGGAUAAGCAAGCCCCAUUUUUAGGCAACUAAAGGUGGGGGGCACAUACUAGGGGGUAGCGACUGUUUACUAAAAACACAGGGCUCUGCUAAAUUGAAAGAUGAAGUAUAGGGUCUGACGCCUGCCCGGUGCUGGAAGGUUAAGGAGAGAUGUUCACGCAUUGAACUGAAGCCCCAGUAAACGGCGGCCGUAACUAUAACGGUCCUAAGGUAGCGAAAUUCCUUGUCGGGCAAGUUCCGACCUGCACGAAUGGCAUAAUGAUGGCCACACUGUCUCCUCCUGAGACUCAGUGAAGUUGAAAUGUUUGUGAUGAUGCAAUCUCCCCGCGGCUAGACGGAAAGACCCCAUGAACCUUUACUGCAGCUUUGCAUUGGACUUUGAACCGAUCUGUGUAGGAUAGGUGGGAGGCAGUGAAGCUAGGACGCCAGUCUUAGCGGAGCCAACCUUGAAAUACCACCCUGAUUUGUUUGAGGUUCUAACCUAGGAGCGUGAUCCGCUUCGGGGACCGUGCAUGGUAGGCAGUUUGACUGGGGCGGUCUCCUCCUAAAGGGUAACGGAGGAGUGCGAAGGUACGCUAGGUACGGUCGGAAAUCGUGCUGAUAGUGCAAUGGCAAAAGCGUGCUUGACUGCGAGACCGACAAGUCGAGCAGAUACGAAAGUAGGUCAUAGUGAUCCGGUGGCUCUGCAUGGAAGGGCCAUCGCUCAACGGAUAAAAGGUACUCUGGGGAUAACAGGCUGAUACCGCCCAAGAGUUCAUAUCGACGGCGGUGUUUGGCACCUCGAUGUCGGCUCAUCUCAUCCUGGGGCUGUAGCCGGUCCCAAGGGUAUGGCUGUUCGCCAUUUAAAGAGGUACGUGAGCUGGGUUUAAAACGUCGUGAGACAGUUUUGUCCCUAUCUGCCGUGGGCGUUGGAAGAUUGACGGGGGCUGCUCCUAGUACGAGAGGACCGGAGUGGACUCACCUCUGGUGUACCGGUUGUCACGCCAGUGGCAUCGCCGGGUAGCUAUGUGGGGAAAGGAUAACCGCUGAAAGCAUCUAAGCGGGAAACCUGCCUGAAGAUAAGUCUUCCUGGAGGCUAGACCUCCCUGAAGAGUCGUUCGAGACCAGGACGUUGAUAGGUUGGAUGUGCAAGCGCUGUGAGGCGUUGAGCUGACCAAUACUAAUUGCUCGUGAAGCUUGAUCCU
rnacentral:rRNA from 1 species